AUGACGUGCCUUUGUAUUGGGAGAAAACUAUUACAUUUGGUUCUAAGGCAAAAAAUAGUUUUGGUAGUAAAUACAUGAUAAUAGUUUUAUUUAGUGAAAUUAACAAACUAUUGAUUAACAUGUUCUAACAUAAUCUGUUAUAUUUGCAGUAUUUUCUCAGACUAGUUUCAGAAAGAUUAUUGCAUAAGGACCAAUUCAUU
rnacentral:lncRNA from 1 species